rnacentral:lncRNA from 1 species
UGCCAGGAGAGGGGAAAACAGACAAAUUAGUACGAGCUGUAUAUGUACAUGUAGAGUAUAGUAGGCCAUACGGAGAUAUCUCUUUUGUGUGCAUAAAGUAGUGCAGUUAAUCUGCUCCACAAUUCUAAAGAGUUCAGACUUUGUAUCGCUCUAAUAGACCAAGGAAAGUCAACUUGAGUCAAACAUUUCGAAAUGGAAGCAAGAUAGAACAUAUGGCCCUUUUUCUCGCUAAUCACGCAACAAUCGCUUUCUUUCUUUCAUAU